rnacentral:rRNA from 1 species
GUAGCAAUACUUAGUGGCAGACGGGUGAGUAACAUGUGGGUAUCUACCCUUUGGCCUGGAAUAACACGAGGAAACUUGUGCUAAUACCGGAUAAGUCUUUACAGAGAAAGCUUUAUGCACCAUUGGAUGAGCCCGCACUUGAUUAGUUUGUUGGUAGGGUAAUGGCCUACCAAGACUAUGAUCAAUAGCUGAUUUGAGAGGAUGAUCAGCCACAUUGGGACUGAGACACGGCCCAAACUCCUACGGGAGGCAGCAGUGGGGAAUCUUGCACAAUGGAGGAAACUCUGAUGCAGCGAUGCCGCGUGAGUGAAGAAGGCCUUUGGGUUGUAAAGCUCUUUCGUCGGGGAAGAAAAUGACUGUACCCGAAUAAGAAGGUCCGGCUAACUUCGUGCCAGCAGCCGCGGUAAUACGAAGGGACCUAGCGUAGUUCGGAAUUACUGGGCUUAAAGAGUUCGUAGGUGGUUGAAAAAGUUGGUGGUGAAAUCCCAGAGCUUAACUCUGGAACUGCCAUCAAAACUUUUCAGCUAGAGUAUGAUAGAGGAAAGCAGAAUUUCUAGUGUAGAGGUGAAAUUCGUAGAUAUUAGAAAGAAUAC